rnacentral:rRNA from 1 species
UACGUAGGGUGCGAGCGUUAAUCGGAAUUACUGGGCGUAAAGCGUGCGCAGGCGGUUUUGUAAGCCAGAUGUGAAAGCCCCGGGCUUAACCUGGGAAUGGCAUUUGGGACUGCAAGGCUUGAGUGCGGCAGAGGAGACUGGAAUUCCUGGUGUAGCAGUGAAAUGCGUAGAUAUCUGGAGGAACACCGGUGGCGAAGGCGGCGUUCUGGACUGCAACUGACUCUGAGGAACGAAAGCCAGGGGAGCAAACGGG